rnacentral:rRNA from 1 species
UCNGUCUUGAGGUGGGGGAUAACUCCGGGAAACUGGAGCUAAUACCGCAUGAUAACUGAGGUUCAAAGGUCGCGAGACCGCCUUGAGAGGGGCCUGCGUUCGAUUAGUUAGUUGGUGGGGUAAUGGCCUACCAAGACGAUGAUCGAUAGCUGGUUUGAGAGGAUGAUCAGCCACACUGGGACUGAGACACGGCCCAGACUCCUACGGGAGGCAGCAGUGGGGAAUAUUGGACAAUGGGGGCAACCCUGAUCCAGCAAUGCCGCGUGUGUGAAGAAGGUCUUCGGAUUGUAAAACACUUUCGUUGGGGACGAUGAUGACGGUACCCAAAGAAGAAGCCCCAGCUAACUUCGUGCCAGCAGCCGCGGUAAUACGAAGGGGGCGAGCGUUGCUCGGAAUAACUGGGCGUAAAGGGCGCGUAGGCGGCCGAUAGCUGUCAGAUGUGAAAUUUUUGGGCUCAACCCGAAAACUGCAUUUGAUACGUAUUGGCUAGAGUGCGAGAGAGGAUUGCGGAAUUCCCAGUGUAGAGGUGAAAUUCGUAGAUAUUGGGAAGAACACCAGUUGCGAANGCGGCAAUCUGGCUCGUUACUGACGCUGA